GAUCUGAGAUUUAGGUAUAUUAGAAUCGCUCCGUAUCAUCCCUAUCUUUAAUGUUUUUACGGAUCUAAAUGACUAUAUUUUCGUGCGAUUCUCUUUCAGAAUUAUGGCAAAAGUUCAAGAUGAUCGACAAACUACAACUAAUUAAAGAUGUCGCAUGGGUCAUCGGUUCUGUAUUCGUGGGUACACUUACUGGCAAUGAGUUGUAUAAGUUUUCUAUGGAAGAAAGCCGAAAGGAAGGUCAGACAUCAUCUCUUGUUGGGAAGGGGAGUUAGUUCCUCCAGAAUGCUGCGUGUGACGAAAGAUUUUAUAAUUUUGUUAUGAUGUUUAUGGGGAUGUACCAAACAAAAAUGAUAAUGGGGGUGACUCCACAUUGUCACUUGUGGUGUCAGUUGAACCCCACAACUUUUAAAAUACUCUAUCGUAAAUGGGAUAUUUGAACUGCUCAUGCUA